AAAAGUCGUAACAAGGUCUCCGUAGGUGAACCUGCGGAGGGAUCAUUACACAAUAAAAUACGAAGGCCGUUCGCGGCUGGACUAUUUAUUACCCUUGUCUUUUGCGCACUUGUUGUUUCCUGGGCGGGUUCGCUCGCCACCAGGACCACAAUAUAAACCUUUUUUAUGCAGUUGCAAUCAGCGUCAGUAUAACAAAUGUAAAUCAUUUACAACUUUCAACAACGGAUCUCUUGGUUCUGGCAUCGAUGAAGAACGCAGCGAAAUGCGAUACGUAGUGUGAAUUGCAGAAUUCAGUGAAUCAUCGAAUCUUUGAACGCACAUUGCGCCCUUUGGUAUUCCAAAGGGCAUGCCUGUUCGAGCGUCAUUUGUACCCUCAAGCUUUGCUUGGUGUUGGGCGUUUUUGUCCCCCCCCAAAAAGGGGACUCGCCUUAAAAGGAUUGGCAGCCGGCCUACUGGUUUCGCAGCGCAGCACAUUUUUGCGCUUGCAAUCAGCAAAAGAGGACGGCAAUCCAUCAAGACUCCUUCUCACGUUUGACCUCGGAUCAGGUAGGGAUACCCGCUGAACUUAAGCAUA
rnacentral:rRNA from 1 species